GUGGCCAUAGCUCAGUUGGUUAGAGCAUCGGAUUGUGAUUCCGAGGGUCGGGGGUUCAAGUCCCCUUGGCCACCCCA
rnacentral:tRNA from 3 species